rnacentral:rRNA from 1 species
UACGAAGGGGGGCUAGCGUUGCUCGGAAUCACUGGGGCGUAAAAGGGUGCGUAGGGCGGGUCUUUAAGUCAGGGGGUGAAAUCCUGGGAGCUCAACUCCAGAACUGCCCUUUGAUACUGAAGAUCUUGAGUUCGGGGAGAGGUGAGUGGGAACUGCGAGUGUAGAGGGUGAAAUGCGUAGAUAUCGGAAGGAACAUCAGUG